rnacentral:rRNA from 1 species
GACGAACGCUGGCGGCGUGCUUAACACAUGCAAGUCGAACGAAGAGGCGAACGGGUGAGUAAUACGUCGGUAACCUGCCCUCCUUUUCGGGAUAAGCCUUGGAAACGGGGUCUAAUACCGAAUAUAGGGGGUUGGGCUCGGGGCCAAUCAGCUUGUUGGGGGGGUGAUGGCCUACCAAGGCGGUGACGGGUAGCCGGCCUGAGAGGGUGACCGUCCACGUGGGGCGUGGGAUACGGCCUAGGGUCGGACGGGAGGCAGAAGUGGGGGAUAUUGCACAAGGGUCGAAAGCCUGAUGCAGGUACUGCGCGUGGGGGAUGAAGGCUUACGGGUUGUAAACCUCUUUCGCUGGCGAACGGGUAGGGGGAGAAGAAGCGCCGGCGAACUACGUGCCAGCAGGCGCGGUAAUAC